rnacentral:tRNA from 1 species
UGCUCAGAGACAACCAAACUGGGAAAAGCGAUGCAGAAUCGUAUAAGAAAUAAUUAAUAAGCCA